rnacentral:rRNA from 1 species
CCAGACUCCUACGGGAGGCAGCAGUGGGGAAUAUUGCGCAAUGGGGGAAACCCUGACGCAGCAACGCCGCGUGAGUGAGGAAGUAUCUCGGUAUGUAAAGCUCUAUCAGCGGGGAAGAAGGAAGACGGUACCCGACUAAGAAGCCCCGGCUAACUACGUGCCAGCAGCCGCGGUAAUACGUAGGGGGCAAGCGUUAUCCGGAUUUACUGGGUGUAAAGGGAGCGUAGACGGUGCAGCAAGUCUGAUGUGAAAGGUCGGGGCCCAACCCCGGGACUGCAUUGGAAACUGUUGAACUGGAGUACAGGAGAGGUAAGCGGAAUUCCUAGUGUAGCGGUGAAAUGCGUAGAUAUUAGGAGGAACACCAGUGGCGAAGGCGGCUUACUGGACUGUAACUGACGUUGAGGCUCGAAAGCGUGGGGAGCAAACAGGAUUAGAUACCCUGGUAC